UACGUAGGGACCAAGCGUUGUCCGGAAUCAUUGGGCGUAAAGAGCGUGUAGGCGGCUUGUUAAGUCUUGCGUGAAAUCUCGGGGCUCAACCCCGAGCGGUCGUGAGAAACUGGCAGGCUAGAGUGCGGGAGAGGAGAGUGGAAUUCCUGGUGUAGCGGUGAAAUGCGUAGAUAUUGGGAGGAACACCAGUGGCGAAGGCGGCUCACUGGACCGGUUCUGACGCUGAGGCGCGAAAGCGUGGGGAGCAAACGGG
rnacentral:rRNA from 1 species